UGUAAUCUUCAUUUAAGCUCUUUAUUUGGUUGAAAAUCUCCAAGUUAGCUAGAUAGAUAAAGUUGGGGAUAAAAAUGUAUAGACAUACAUAUUGUAAGUAUAAGUUUUGGUGGCUAUAAAUAAGACCACUCACUAGUGCUAGCAAAGGUUGACUUCAUUUUAUUUUCUAAGUAUUGUGAGCUUGAGAGCAAAAUACAAUUGAGAGCAAAAAGGAGUGGUGGCCGAAAUUUCUAGGAGGGGAAGCUAACUAGCGGAUGUCAUCUAGCUUCAUCACCUACUUUGGAAAGAAGAGAAGAAGUGCAUCCAAAACCAAGAGGUUUAAAAGUUUUCUAAUCUUAAAACUCUAAGUAGUUUAUUGUUUAUUUAUGUUAUCUAGCAUGUUAGUUGCGGGAGGAACAUUGUGACGAGGAACUAUGGUGAGUUACGAAGAUAUAAGGGUGGAUGUGUAAAGGAGAUUGUGUGCUUAUGUGAAAUAUGUGUAUUUGUGUAGUUGUUUUGCAAAUAAAUGAAGAGCGCAUAUUUUUAAACACUAUGAUAGUAAAUAUAUGGGUUAGAUGAUAUUUUAUGGUUAGAUGUGUUCAAUAUGUGUGUUGAUGUACUUAGAAGGUAAAGAAAAAUAAGAAAUGUUUUUAUGAGAUUUAGUUCAAGAACCCUAGAAAUUUCAGUCCACUUUGGACAACUACUGUUUUCAAAUUGUAACUUGUUUUUGAGAUCCGUCAGAUUUCUUGGAUAGAUCUAUAAAUUUUAUAAAGAUCCCCGUUGGAUUUGCUAAUAAAUAUUGAACGAGCUUUCGGUGGCGAAUUUUCUACCAAAACAGUUUUCUGUCAAAAAAUUUGAAAAACCUACUGCCCUUAAAUUUCUAAGGCCUGUUUUGGCCAAUUAACUUGGUCUAAAACUUUUGGCCUCCAGGGAUCUGAAAUUAUAUAGUAUCAUUGAGUCGUUGUCCAAAAAUGAGCUCAUUCCAACUCCGUACAAGCGAGUUAUGGCCCAACAAAGAUUUCGAUUUUUAAAAUUAAAACUACAAUAUCUUGAAGCGUGUAACUCAGAAAAUUAUGAACUUAACUGAGGGUAGUUUCUGAUGGCAGGAAGUUGUCGUGUAAAUUUCAGAAUUUUCUAAUGAAUUCUCGAUUUUUAAUAAAUAUGGCAAUUUUGGACAGAAAUGACCUAUUUAAAAAUAGUAAAUAAUAUUAAAAAAUUAAAGAAAUUUUAUUUGUAUGUAAAAUGAAAUAUACUAAAUAUAUCCAAGAGAUAUAAAAAUAAUAAGUUAAUUAAGUAUUUUUAAUAAAUACAACUGAGUUAAGAAAAAUAAAGAAAAAUAAUUAUUUAUUAUUUAAUUAAAAUUAAAUAAUAAAUAAAUUUAAUUAAGGCAAUUGUUUAUUAUUUAAAUAAUAUUAAAUAAUAAAUACAGUGAUUAAAUAGAAUUAAAUUAAUAAAUUAAUAAAAUGAUUAAACAAAUAAAGAGUAAAUUGUUUUAGUGUUUAAAUUUAUUAAAUGAAUGAAAUAUUAUUAAAUAAUUAAUAAUAUUAAUUAAGAAUUAAAUUAAUAAUAAUUGUUAAGGGUCAAAGUAUUAUUAAAAGGGUUAAUAAUAUUAGCAAGAGAUUAAAAUAUUAUUAAAGGAUAAAUACUAUUAGUAACCAACUAAGAUGUUAUUAAAUAAUUAGGGUUAAAUGCUUUCUAAGUCAUUGUACUAUAGGUCAACUUACAAAUGGGUCACUGAACUUUUUUUUCUUACAGUCAACUUACUACACUCGAUUUUUCUAACAAAAAGUUAAAAAAACUGUUAAACUAGUUUGACUGUUAACGGAAAGUACACAUCAGCUGCUGAGUUGUCCGUUACAAGCUGAUGUGGCGCCUUUGUGUGACGUGGCAGUGAUUAUGUGGAUUUUUAAAAAAAAUUUUAUGAAGAAAAUGAAAAAAAUAUUUUAAAGUAUAAUAUAAAUUAUAAAAUUAAAAAUAUUUUAAAAUUAAAAAUCUUUUCAAAUUCAGACAUUAAAUUUAUAAUUGAGUCAAUUUGGUGAUAAUUUUUUUUUCUUUUCUAACUAGGAUAAAUAAAUUUGUACUUUUACAUGCAAAUAAUUUUUAUCAAAUAAUUUUUAAUUUUAUCAAAUAAUUUUUAUUUUAAUUUUAUCAAAUAAUUUAUAUUGUAAUUUUAAUUUUAUCAAAUAAUUUUAAUUUUAAAAUUAUACAAAAUUUAAAUUUUAUAAUUUAAUUUAAUUAAAUUUAAGAAAUAAUCAUUUUUAUUAAAAAGAGGAAGAAAAAAACAAUUCUUAUUUUUGUGAUUAUAAGAAAAUAAAUUUUUAAAUAAUUAGUAACAAGUAUAAUUAUUUAAAAAAUUAUAAAAUUAAAAUAUACCAAAAUUACAAAUCAAAUCGUUACUUCAUAUAAUAAAUUACUCCCAUUUAUCCAUCAUUUUAUAAAUAUUCAUUUAUAUAAAAUCAUAUCAAAGCCCAAAAAAUAUGAAUACAACUCAGAAUCAAUUACUGCAAGUCUAGAAGGCACAAAUUGCCACUUCCUCCAUCCUCACCCGUUACUACAAGUCCAGAAUCAAUUACUACAACCCAGAAUCUCUUCUCCCGUUACAAACUCUAGACCCCUCCUCCUUCUUCCCCUUCAAUGGGAAACCCCUAUCCGAUUCUACCAUGGUCCAGAAGGCAAAAAUUUCCCUUUCCUCCAUCCUUACCCUACAGUUCUGCCUCCCUGGGGGUGGUGGUUCAGAUUCAGAUUGCGAUAAGGGUUCAGAUUCAGAUCUAGCCCCAGAUUCAGAUUCAUCACUUGGGCUCCCCGUCUCCUUCACGCGCGGUGGUUUCGAUUCCUUCUUAUCCUCCAUCAUAAUAGCUAGUUAGAUCUGAAAUUAAUGUUUGUUUGAUAUAGUAUGGUUUUCUCAUGUACCUUUUUACAAGUUGGGACUCAAAAGAAGGAUUCUGGAAUGGAACUUCCUUCCAUUUUGCUCGGCAAACGGGGUAAAUCUGAUUGAGUGUUUUACAUCGGAGGUGAUGCAGUGGAAGUGGAAGGAGUGUGAGCAUUCUGUAGUGAAAAUGGCAUGGCCUUGGCAUGGUUUCAUGGUGGUUAAGCAUAUUGAGCAAUUAGUAGAUCUAGGCUUUUGGAGAUGAAUGAUGGGUUUGAAUGAGAUGUCGAAGAAGGAGAUGAACAAUAUAUUUGAUUAUGCAGUGAAGAUUUGAUUUGUAAUUUUUUAAAUAAUUAUAGUUGUUACUAAUUAUUUAAAAACUUAUUUUCUUAUAAUCACAAAAAUAAGAAUUGUUUUUUUCCUC
rnacentral:lncRNA from 1 species